GAUGAACGCUAGCGGCAGGCCUAACACAUGCAAGUCGAGGGGUAGAAUUAGCUUGCUAAUUUGAGACCGGCGCACGGGUGCGUAACGCGUAUGCAAUCUGCCUUGUACUGAGGGAUAGCCCAGAGAAAUUUGGAUUAAUACCUCAUAGCAUUAUGAAAUCGCAUGGUUUUAUAAUUAAAGUUCCAACGGUACAAGAUGAGCAUGCGUCCCAUUAGUUAGUUGGUAAGGUAACGGCUUACCAAGACGAUGAUGGGUAGGGGUCCUGAGAGGGAGAUCCCCCACACUGGUACUGAGACACGGACCAGACUCCUACGGGAGGAAGCAGUGAGGAAUAUUGGUCAAUGGGCGCAAGCCUGAACCAGCCAUGCCGCGUGCAGGAUGACGGUCCUAUGGAUUGUAAACUGCUUUUAUACGGGAAGAAACACUCCUACGUGUAGGAACUUGACGGUACCGUAAGAAUAAGGAUCGGCUAACUCCGUGCCAGCAGCCGCCGUAAGAC
rnacentral:rRNA from 1 species